rnacentral:lncRNA from 1 species
GUCACUGAAACCAGCAUCCAGGUGAUGCGACACUUCUGCCGGGGUCCUGGCUGCAAGGUGGAUUAUGACAUCUCACUGGACCCAUACCCAUAUAGAGUGGUUCCAGCAUACCUGUGGGAUUUUGAUAUCUACCUGGGCCAACUUUGAAGUGAUGUGACUCUUCUGCCUGGGCCCUUCCCUCAGUAAGAAUUGUGACAUCUCUGGAUCCUACACCUAGGUGAUGUUACAUUCUAUCCUGCACCAUACCAACAGACAUCAUUGUGACAUAUCACUGUGUCCAUCACUUAAAAGACAUAACUGUCAAGACCAGCUCGGUCAGGGAGACCCUAGCCCAGUGGUGCUAGAGGAAUUAAAGACACACACAGAAAUAUAGAGGUGUGGAGUGGGAAAUCAGGAGUCUCACAGCCUUCAGAGCUGAGAGCCUCGAACAGAGAUUUACUCACAUAUUUAUUGACAGUGAGCCAGUGAUAAGCAUUGUUCUUAUAGAUUAUAGAUUAACUAAAAGUAUUUCUUAUGGGAAAUAAAGAGAUGGGCCAAAAUAAAGGGAUGAGUCUAGCUAGUUAUCUGUAGCAGGAGCAUGUCCUUAAGGCAUAGAUCGCUCAUGCUAUAUUGUUCGUCGUUUAAGAAUGACUUUAAGCAGUUUUCCACCCUGGGUGGGCCAGGUGUUCCUUGUCUUCAUUCUGGUAAACCCACAACCUUCCAGCGUGGGUGUCAUAGCCAUCAUUAACAUGUCAGAGUGCUGCAGAUAUUUUGUUUAUGGCCAGUUUUAAGGCCAGUUUAUGGCCAGAUUUUGGGGGGCUUGUUCCCAACAUGUCCUCCUUCUUUGAUUUGCAAAGUGAUAAAAGCAAAGGCAGCUUCAUCACGGUGUUCUCACAGGAGUUGGGAUCUGCAUCUGCAGACUAUACAAAGACAAACAACUCAGAUUAAAAGUA